rnacentral:rRNA from 1 species
CCUACGGGAGGCAGCAGUGAGGAAUAUUGGUCAAUGGACGCAAGUCUGAACCAGCCAUGCCGCGUGCAGGAUGACGGCUCUAUGAGUUGUAAACUGCUUUUGUAAGAGGGUAAACGCAGACACGCGUGUCUGUUUGUAAGUACCGUACGAAUAAGGAUCGGCUAACUCCGUGCCAGCAGCCGCGGUAAUACGGAGGAUUCAAGCGUUAUCCGGAUUUAUUGGGUUUAAAGGGUGCGUAGUUGGUCUGUUAAGUUAGUGGUGAAAUCUCGAGGCUCAACUUCGGAAUUGCAAUUGAUACUGGUCGGCUAGAGAGUAGUUGCGGUAGGCGGAAUGCAUGGUGUAGCGGUGAAAUGCUUAGAGAGCAUGCAGAACACCGAUUGCGAAGGCAGCUUACCAAGCUACUACUGACGUUGAGGCACGAAAGCGUGGGUAGCAAACAGGAUUAGAUACCCCUGUAGUC